UCUGCAUCCACUUCUCUUCUCUCUCCCUUUCCCUGAGGAACGAGCUUUGCCUCCCUCGACGAGAGAUGUCUUGCUGCAGACCCUGUGUCCCAUCCUCCUGCGGUGCCUCUGGCCCAACCCCACUUGCCAGCAGCUGCAGUGAGCCGUGUGUCGCCCGGUGCGCUGACUCGACGGUUGCCAUCCAGCCCUCCCCAGUCGUGGUGACCCUGCCGGGCCCCAUCCUCACCUCCUUCCCUCAGAACACCGCCGUGGGAUCCUCUCUGUCAGCUGCUGUUGGCAGCUCCCUCAGCAGUGGGGGGGUUCCCAUCUCUUCUGGGGGCUCCCUUGGUCUGGGGGGGUCAGGGCUGUGUCUGCCUUCCCCACUCUGCCGCUUCAACUGCUGAAGCGCGUGGAUCAUCCCAUUUGGGGCAGACAUCCCUGAGAUGGAUGGGCCGUUCUCUCUGCCUCCCUGAACCCUGCAAACUUUCUUCUUGGUCUCUGUACUGCUCCACUGCCUUUCCUCGUUCUCAUUAAAGACCUUGUGCAGCACA